GACGAACGCUGGCGGCGCGCCUAACACAUGCAAGUCGAACGAAGCUGAGAGAAGCUUGCUUUUCUUAGCUUAUUAGCGAACGGGUGAGUCACGCGUGAGUAGCCUACCCUGGAGAAGGGGACACCAGUUGGAAACGACUGCUAAUACCGCAUAAGCUCACGAUCCUGCAUCGGCUUGAGGGGAAAGGGUUUUUUCGCUUUAGGAUGGACUCGCGUUCCAUUAGCUAGUUGGUGAGGUAACGGCCCACCAAGGCGACGAUCGAUAGCCGGACUGAGAGGUUGAACGGCCACAUUGGGACUGAGACACGGCCCAGACUCCUACGGGAGGCAGCAGUGGGGGAUAUUGCACAAUGGGGGAAACCCUGAUGCAGCGACGCCGCGUGGAGGAAGAAGGCUUUCGGAUUGUAAAGUCCUGUUGCUAGGGACGAUAAUGACGGUACCUGACAAGAAAGCACCGGCUAACUACGUG
rnacentral:rRNA from 1 species